rnacentral:rRNA from 1 species
GUUGUAUGGUUAAGUGACGAAGCGUAUACGGUGGAUGCCUUGGCAGUUAGAGGCGAUGAAGGACGUGUAAGUCUGCGAAAAGCUGUGGUGAGCCGACAAAAUGCAUUUGAGCCACAGAUGUCCGAAUGGGGAAACCCACCUGUUUACAGGUAUCGUUAACUGAAUACAUAGGUUAACGAGGCAAACGAGGGGAACUGAAACAUCUAAGUACCCUUAGGAAAAGAAAUCAACCGAGAUUCCCCUAGUAGCGGCGAGCGAACGGGGAGCAGCCCUUAAGCUGUUUAGAAUUUAGUGGAAUCCUUUGGGAAGAGGAGCGAUACAAGGUGAUAGCCCUGUACACGACGGAUUCUUUACAGUGAAAUCGAGUAGGUCGGGACACGUGUUAUCUUGACUGAAUAUGGGGGGACCAUCCUCCAAGGCUAAAUACUCCUAACUGACCGAUAGUGAACCAGUACCGUGAGGGAAAGGCGAAAAGAACCCCUGUGAGGGGAGUGAAAUAGAACCUGAAACCGUAUACGUACAAGCAGUGGGAGCCACUUCGUGUGGUGACUGCGUACCUUUUGUAUAAUGGGUCAGCGACUUAUAUUUAGUAGCAAGGUUAAGUGAAUAACGGAGCCGUAGCGAAAGCGAGUGUUAACUGCGCGUUUAGUUGCUAGGUAUAGACCCGAAACCCGGUGAUCUAGCCAUGGGCAGGUUGAAGGUUGAGUAACAUCAACUGGAGGACCGAACCCACUAACGUUGAAAAGUUAGGGGAUGACCUGUGGCUGGGGGUGAAAGGCCAAUCAAACCGGGAGAUAGCUGGUUCUCCCCGAAAUCUAUUUAGGUAGAGCCUCGGACGAAUUCCAUUGGGGGUAGAGCACUGUUAAGGCUAGGGGGUCAUCCCGACUUACCAACCCUUUGCAAACUCCGAAUACCAAUGAGAACUAUCCGGGAGACACACGGCGGGUGCUAACGUCCGUCGUGGAGAGGGAAACAACCCAGACCGCCAGCUAAGGUCCCAAAAUAUUGCUAAGUGGGAAACGAUGUGGGAAGGCAUAGACAGCUAGGAGGUUGGCUUAGAAGCAGCCACCCUUUAAAGAAAGCGUAAUAGCUCACUAGUCGAGUCGGCCUGCGCGGAAGAUGUAACGGGGCUAAGCAAUAUACCGAAGCUGCGGCAGCAUGUUUACAUGCUGGGUAGGGGAGCGUUGUGUAAGUGGAUGAAGGUGAGUUGUAAAGCUUGCUGGACAUAUCACAAGUGCGAAUGCUGACAUGAGUAACGAUAAUGGGAGUGAAAAACUCCCACGCCGGAAGACCAAGGUUUCCUGUCCCAUGCUAAUCAGGGCAGGGUAAGUCGGCCCCUAAGGCGAGGCAGAAAUGCGUAGUCGAUGGGAAACGGGUUAAUAUUCCCGUACUUAUAUAAUCAGUGAUGGAGGGACGGAGAAGGCUAGGCAAGCUUGGCGUUGGUUGUCCAAGUGAAAGUGAGUAGGCUGAAGACUUAGGUAAAUCCGGGUUUUCAAGGCCGAGACACGAAACGAGCUCCCAAGGGAGUGAAGUUGUUGAUGCCCUGCUUCCAGGAAAAGCUUCUAAACUUAUGAUUAUAUGAACCGUACCCCAAACCGACACAGGUGGUCAGGUAGAGAAUACUAAGGCGCUUGAGAGAACUCGGGUGAAGGAACUCGGCAAAAUUGUACCGUAACUUCGGGAGAAGGUACGCCUCUGUUUGUGAACACUUCGCGUGGUAAGCAAAUGGAGGCCGCAGUGACCAGGUGGCUGGGACUGUUUAUUAAAAACACAGCACUCUGCAAACUCGUAAGAGGACGUAUAGGGUGUGACACCUGCCCGGUGCCGGAAGGUUAAUUGAUGGGGUUAGUUUUCGGACGAAGCUCUUGAUCGAAGCCCCGGUAAACGGCGGCCGUAACUAUAACGGUCCUAAGGUAGCGAAAUUCCUUGUCGGGUAAGUUCCGACCUGCA